UAUGGUAAUGCCAGCAGCCGCGGUAAAACGUAGGGUGCAAGCGUUGUCCGGAAUUACUGGGUGUAAAGGGAGCGCAGGCGGACCGGCAAGUUGGAAGUGAAAACUAUGGGCUCAACCCAUAAAUUGCUUUCAAAACUGCUGGCCUUGAGUAGUGCAGAGGUAGGUGGAAUUCCCGGUGUAGCGGUGGAAUGCGUAGAUAUCGGGAGGAACACCAGUGGCGAAGGCGACCUACUGGGCACCAACUGACGCUGAGGCUCGAAAGCAUGGGUAGCAAACAGG
rnacentral:rRNA from 1 species